rnacentral:rRNA from 1 species
GACGAACGCUGGCGGCGUGCUUAACACAUGCAAGUCGAACAGAGGAUUUAUUUCGGUAAAUCCUUAGUGGCGAACGGGUGAGUAACGCGUGGGCAAUCUGCCCUUCAGAUGGGGACAACAUCCCGAAAGGGGUGCUAAUACCGAAUACGAUCACGCUGCCGCAUGGCGGUGUGAUGAAAGAUGGCCUCUAUUUAUAAGCUAUCGCUGAAGGAUGAGCCUGCGUCUGAUUAGCUAGUUGGUGGGGUAACGGCCUACCAAGGCGAUGAUCAGUAGCCGGUCUGAGAGGAUGAACGGCAACAUUGGGACUGAGACACGGCCCAACAUCCUACGGGAGGCAGCAGUGGGGAAUAUUCCGCAAUGGACGAAAGUCUGACGGAGCAACGCCGCGUGAGUGAUGAAGGUUUUCGGUCUGUAAAGCUCUGUUGUUUAGGACGAAAGUGCCUGUUGCAAAUAGUUACAGGUAUUGACGGUACUGAACGAGGAAGCCACGGCUAACUACGUGCCAGCCGCCGCAGUAA